rnacentral:sRNA from 1 species
AAAAAUAUAAUUAAAUAUUCCCAUAAAUAUCUAAUUAAACCAACCAAUAAAAUAACAAUUAAACCGCAAGUCAAAAAUACUAUUUUAUGAAUAAAUAAAUAAUUCGACCAGCAAAACCAAGAAUAACUAACAAUCCUAACCGGGUUCCAAUAACCAAAAACACAAAAAUAAAACAACCGAGUUCCUAAAUCAUCCUUUCUUCCUUGCCAUGAUUCCACGAUCACACUUUAUCUUUACCUGCAUCAACAACACAAAGAGAUGCGUAAGUAUUAUCACAAAUACUUAGUGAGACGAUCCUCCCAUCUACGAGCUAUACACACAAGCAAAUAAAAGGGUAUAAUAA